CCCUUAGAUGUUCUGGGCCGCACGCGCGCUACACUGAACAUAUCAGCUUGGUUUUCCCUUCCUGAGAAGGACGGGUAAACCCCUGAGCCAUGUUCAUGGUAGGGAUUGGGGCUUGCAAUUAUUCCCCACGAACCAGGAAUUCCCAGUAGGCGCAAGUCAUAAGCUUGCGUCGAUUACGUCCCUGCCCUUUGUACACACCGCCCGUCGCUACUACCGAUUGAAUGGUUUAGUGAGACCCUCGGAUUCGUCCCAGCACAGUGGGUUUCUGCUGAGCUGGUGCGCGGAGAAGACGGUCGAACUUGAUCAUUUAGAGGAAGUAAAAGUCGUAACA
rnacentral:rRNA from 1 species